UCCUGACCUCGUGAUCCGCCCGCCUCAGCCUCCCAAAGUGUUGGGAUUACAGGCGUGAGCCACCGCGCCUGGCCUUCCUUUUCUUUCUAAUUGCCCUGAAAAGUUUUCUCCAGAAGGGUUAGGCUCUAUUUUCAGCAACUUUUAGCAACCUAGUCACAUUCUUUGAGUGAUCCCUAUAAUGUCUUACUACUGUUUUUUUAACCCUCGCGUACAUUACUUUGUUGCAUCUAAACAACAUGCAAAUGGCAAUGAGUAAGGCAGUUAUUAUCCCCAUAUUUAGAUAACAGGUUAUUAACAAUGAAUAAAAUGAACUUCUAAUAUUGAGAUUAAAGGGUAGUAAAGGCCUAGAGGAGAAAAAGUGAGAGAAUGAGUAACACAAAU
rnacentral:lncRNA from 1 species